GCACAUGCACGUGUUGUGUUGUGUUUCCUCCAUAAGAAAUUCUUUUCCUGGAUUUGUGAUCCCUGUGGAAUAUUAAGAACCUCUCCGAUUGAAUCUCAGGGAGGAACCGGAGGUAUGUAUGACAACUGUUUGAGAAAAAGGUCCCAAAUCCCUCUCUUAAAACCUUGGGAUUGUGCUUGAGACUCAGCCCCGAUGUGUUCAGUGGUAAUUCACUCACCUGGUUUACCCACACUGUAUGCUUCCCCCUACCUGCCCCUACCUUGUCAUAAGUGCUGAGGAUUGAACCCAUGGCCUCGUUGCAUGUCAGGUGCUGGGAACAUUAAAUCUUCAUGUCUGGAGGACAAGAAAACUAAAAGUACUCAUUGUUCAGUAGCUACUGAGGCUGAUGAGAGGCGGGACUGUGGAUUCACGUGGCUGACGAUGACUGGUCUUCCUGGCCAUAUUGCUUUCUCGUUCUUUUAUCAAGUACAGACAUGGCGCCUGCCUGGAGUGGUGGUAUGAGUGCCCAAUCUCAAGGAAACAACCAAGGCCACCUGUUCCCAUUUUUUUAAUUGCUGUUGUUACAUGUGUAUAUGUGACAUAUGUGCAUGUAUGUUCAUGUGUUUGUGGGUACACAUUGUAUGCGGGUGUGUGUGGAAAUGUCUCUACGUGGCCAUUGAAGACAUUAAAACAGGAAGACUCG
ensembl:lincRNA A330102I10Rik RIKEN cDNA A330102I10 gene